rnacentral:misc_RNA from 1 species
AACGCACAUUGCGCCCUGUGGUAUUCCGUAGGGCAUGCCUGUUCGAGCGUCAUUGCAGCCACUCAAGCCUAGCUUGGUAUUGGGGUUCGCGAUCUCGCGGCCUCCAAAAUUAGUGGCGGUGCUAGUCGGCUCUAAGCGUAGUAAACCUCCUCGCUAUAGAGUCUGUCUAGUCCCUUGCCAAAACCCCCAUAUUUUACAGGUUGACCUCGGAUCAGGUAGGGAUACCCGCUGAACUUAA